rnacentral:rRNA from 1 species
UUGGAGGGCAAGUCUGGUGCCAGCAGCCGCGGUAAUUCCAGCUCCAAUAGCGUAUAUUAAAGUUGUUGCAGUUAAAAAGCUCGUGGUUGAAUUUCGGGAUUGACACAUCGGUCGUGCCUUAAGGGGUAUGAACUGGUGUAGUCAGUUUCUCACCUUCUGGAGAACCGCGAUGUCCUUAAUUGGGUGCCGCGAGGAACCAGGACCUUUACUUUGAAAAAAUUGGAGUGUUUAAAGCAGGCAUUUUGCUUGAAUACAUUAGCAUGGAAUAAUAAAAUAGGACGGAUGGUUCUAUUUUGUUGGUUUCUAGGAUCACCGUAAUGAUUAAUAGGGAUAGUUGGGGGCAUUAGUAUUCAAUUGUCAGAGGUGAAAUUCUUGGAUUCAUUGAAGACUAACUACUGCGAAAGCAUUUGCCAAGGAUGUUUUCGUUAAUCAAGAACGAAAGUUAGGGGAUCGAAGACGAUCAGAUACCGUCGUAGUCUUAACCAUAAACUAUGCCGACUAGAAAUCAGACGAUGUUAAUUUUUUAAUGACUCGUUUGCACCUUACGGGAAACCAAAGUGUUUGGGUUC